GUACAUUUCUAUAUGUAUAUAACAUGAUUGUGUUAAAUUUAUUCCAUAUUUCUUUCCCUUCCUUCCUCCCUCUCAUUCUCCUACUCCACUGAUCUUCCUCUAUGACAUCCCAUCCCUUCCCCCACUGCUUUCUUUCCCUUAUUCUGCUCUAGCUUCCAUAUAUGAGAGAAAUCAUUUGACCCUUGAUUUUCUGAGACUGGCUUAUUUCACUUAGAAUGAUGGAAUAUAGGCUCUUUUUUAAAAAUAUAUUUUUAAUUCUCAGUGGACCUUUAUUUUAUUAUAUGAGGUGCUGAGAAUCAAACCCAGUGUCUCACACAUACUAGGCAAGGACGCAAUCACUGAGCAACAACCCCAGCCCAGAACAUAGGUUCUUUGAGAGAUAAUUGAAGAAAGAAAACGUCCAGCUCAUGGCCAACUUUUUAAAAGUUGCUCAAGAGUUCAGCGGGACAGCUGGGUGAGGUGGCACACACCUGUAAUCCCAGCAGCUUGGGAGGAUCCAGAGUUCAAAGCCGGGUUGAAUGCCUCUGAGUUCAAUCCCUGGUAUCAAAAAAAUAAAUAAAGUUCAAUGGGGAAACAGUAAGUUUAAUAAGGGGAGUAAAAUAAUGUGCUCAGUGGGGAUGUGUUAUAUGCUUCAAUAAAUUUUCAGGUGAGGAAAAGGGCAUAUUUAUAAAGUAAUCAACCAGUGAUACAACGUGCUUAAGUACAGGUGAGAACCCACAAGAGACCUUGGGAUUUGGUGAUUUUAAUCUAUUUAUUUACCUAGAUGCUAGAGAUUGAACUCAGAAUCUGACACACAUGCUCUGUCACUGGAGCUAUUAACC
rnacentral:lncRNA from 1 species